GGGUAGAGGUUGCUUGCAACCUUGAGACCGGCGCACGGGUGCGUAACGCGUAUGCAACCUACCUUCAUCUGGGGGAUAGCCCGGAGAAAUCCGGAUUAACACCGCAUAAAAUCACAGUCCCACCUGGGACAAUGAUCAAAUAUUUAUAGGAUGGAGAUGGGCAUGCGUGUCAUUAGCUAGUUGGCGGGGUAACGGCCCACCAAGGCGACGAUGACUAGGGGAUCUGAGAGGAUGGCCCCCCACACUGGUACUGAGACACGGACCAGACUCCUACGGGAGGCAGCAGUAAGGAAUAUUGGUCAAUGGAGGCAACUCUGAACCAGCCAUGCCGCGUGCAGGAAGACUGCCCUAUGGGUUGUAAACUGCUUUUAUUCGGGAAUAAACCUAGAUACGUGUAUUUAGCUGAAUGUACCGAAGGAAUAAGGAUCGGCUAACUCCGUGCCAGCAGCCGCGGUAAUACGGAGGAUCCAAGCGUUAUCCGGAUUUAUUG
rnacentral:rRNA from 1 species